CUAAUGUGCCCAAUCUUUGAACUAAUUUAAAACACUUUGAAGACGAAAGGAAAAAACAACGCAAGUGCAAAAAUGAGAACCAUGUGGAUGAGUUUGUUUCUUAUGACACUUUUGUUCGUGGCAAGUAUUCAAGAUACACAUUUUAAAGAAGAUGGAGAGAAAAUUAAAGAUGGAGUAACGGGUCUUGUUAAAGAUACAGGAAAAGUAAUUGAAGAUGGAGGAGAGAAAAUCAAAGAUGGAGUUCGCAGUUUCAAAAAAAAAUUAAAAAAAGUCUUUGGUAAAUAAAGCCAAGCAAUUGCGAUCUGUUACGAAUUUAAUACUCGUGAAUAUAAAAACAACAAAAUUUUUGUUUUGAUAAACGUGUCUUUUUAUGUUUACGUUGUAUGUAAUUUAUAACAAAUAUACGUCUUAUUAUUGCUAAUAAAUCAUAAAUACUUUUA